GGGGAGAGGGGGGGUUGGAGGGAAGUUCAGGGGGUAGUGCGCUCUUUCUGCUGUUUGCGCUUAGCCUCCAUUUGCUCCUGUCAAAAAGACUCGAGGUGCUCAGUGCCUUCCCGGAAGCUGCUUCUCCAAAUUGGUCAUAGUAAUUGUACAAAUCACAUCAACAACCGAUUGUUUUUGUGGAUAUUGUUCUGUAGGUGAAUUUCUGAAAGGGCCAUCAUUAAAUAUUGCCUUGAUUAUUUACCUGCAUUGAUUGAAUAAUGUUCCAGUUACUUAUUAUUACCAUGCCAUUUUUUAUAAUGUUAAUACCUAUCUUGGAUGAUGUCAGAUUGCUUUAUAGUAUUUUCUCAUUUUCCUUUGGCUCAAUUUAAUUACUUUAUGCAAUCUGGCACCUUUACAUGGCGGAAGCUGCACUUCACCACUGCGAUAUCUCCUCAAGGUAUGCCUACUUUGAAGAAGUUCUCCUCCACUUUGUCUACUUCACCAUCAGAGUUUUGUUGAUGUCCCUAGCGAGAGUUGAGAAUGUCAAACCAGUCAUGUUUUCUUUGAUCUUUUGCAUGGUUUCCAUAUCAAUUCAAACAAAACGAGAUGACCAUGUGUCCUCUUACUCCUCCUAGUAAGUCUCUUGCAUGAGAAAAGCUGUGGCUAUCAAGAUAAUGUCUGUCCCAUUAAGGAACACUUGGUCUGGAUCUUACGGACUUCCUUGUAUAUGGCUUAUAGUCACUUUACGCGUGCCCUUUCACAUCACCUGUUUUCACCUGGUGAGGUAACCUCUGCCAAAAUCAAACCAAUGACUCUUAGGCAUAUAGAUAUGAAAAAUUAUUUUCCGCAUCAGAAAGUUAGAUUCUCAUGUGUUUUAGAGUGUGUGCCAGCAACUGACAUCAGAUGUUUCCAUAUUAAAAUGUGGGAGCAAAUGUCAGGCUGUUGAGAAGGAGAGGCUGUAUGGGCUCAACAGUGUCGAAUCUAACUAGGUAGGCCAUAUCACACAUUGUGUGUGCCAAAAAGCAUUAUCAGUUGAGAACCACUUGAAUGUCCCAUUGAAGAAAUCUCCAAUCAGAAAUGAAAAAAGUUGUAGAUGCUGGAAUCUGAAAUUAAAAAUAAGGUACUGAAAUGACUCGGCAGAUCAGGCGACAUCUGUGGAAAGAGAAAUGGUGACUGAUUUAUGGCUGGAACCCUUCAACAACAGUGUAGUGUAGGUAGAAGAGGAGAAUGGGUUCAGGCAAUUUCUCUGAUAGGAUAAUGUAACCGCUUUGGGGCAAUUUAGCUCCUUUGUCUGUCUCAUGCAUUGCUCAUGUUGUAAUGUUUGUGUAAUGUUGCAUAGCCAGAUCAAACCGUACAAAUGAGAGAGAGGAGAGGGGGGAGGGGCGGAGUAUAGCAGCUAAAAUGGCCAUCUGAAUACAAGCAGAAAAAAAGAAAGAAAGCCAGUUUGCUAAAUUACUCCAGAAUUUUUGUGCCUAUCUGCGCCGUAAACCAGCAUAUGCAGUUCCUUCCCACUCAAUAUUGAGUCCUGUAGGCUCCAAAAUCCCAAACAAAAGAGAUGAGAUGCUCUUCUUCAAGCUUGCAUUAGGCCACACUGUAAACCUUCAUAAAUCAAAGCUUUUGCAGGAUUGGUAGAUUAGAGCAAUAUGUAGGAUGUUUCAAAGCAUAAUUCCACCCCCAUAUAUAUUUUGUGAUUUUAUUCCUAACUCUUAAAGGAAUGUGCAUCAGAACUCAGAUUGUACAUUAGGGCUGCAAGUCUGCAAUGAAAAGUUUGCUUAAUGUUCCUGCAAUUCGAGACAUUUACACCUUUAUUUAUAAAAAAACAGCAAUUGCUGGAAAUAUUCACCAGGUCAGGCCAUGUCUCUGGGAAGAGAAACAGUCAGAAUUUCAGAUCUUUUGUCAGAUUUUUGUAUCUCCAACUUUCUUUGGGAGGUGCAGAAAUGCAACCUUGGUAUGACUGAGGUACACCAUCCCUUUUAACUUGCCAUUUGCUUGUAAUAUUCUAACUAUGCAAUAGAACCAAAGACUCUCGGGUUCGAGGGCCCAACUAAAGGGUUUAUGUUGUAUGACUAACACAGUAAAUAUGGCUAUGGUUUAUGUAUCAGAGUCUCUGAGAAUGCCAGCUAACAGCUCAUGCAGCUUCACUUGAUUGGGAGGAGUAAUUGAAACGCUGCUUUCAAUCUAAGGUUGUGCCAGUAUAAAUUCUGGUGAAAUCCUCGAUGGAGCAUGUAUUAUUUCUGCGGUUUUGGCAUUUUGCAUCCCAAUUCUAAUAUCUCAAAUUAAAUCCAACAUCUCUUUUUUCCCCCAUUAAAAAUAUAACUUUCAUUUAAUUUCUGAGAAUCUCUACAGUAGUAUUCCAGCUCUGAUCAGGUUAUGCUUUAUUUCAACAUGCAAUCCACAUCGAUUGACAUUCAGGGUAAAGAGAAUCUAAUUCCUGUUUCCUCUCCUUAUCGUAAAACAAUUCCACUGUGUUAUUUCCUUUAGCCAGUUUGUUAUAUGUCCGUGUAUCAUUUCAUAAACUUUGCAGCUUCAGUUCUGUUGACUGGGUGAGCUAGUCUGUGCUGGGUCAUAUGUGCACUACUUAGAAAUGUUAGUGAAUCAUCGGCAGGCAGUGAGUAGUGAUAAUGGAGACACAAGACAUUGCAGAUACUUGUAUCUUGAGCAAAGAACAGGCUGCUCGAGGAACCCUGUGGGUCAGGCAACACCUGUGGAGGGAAAUGGACAGACAAUAUUUCAGGUUGGGACCCUUCUUCAGACUGAUGAGAACAGUGAUAAUGUACAAUGGCUGCAUUGUGAAUGCCUACGUAAUGGAAUAGGACAUGAGGUACUAGUUAUAGAUCCACUUUUGUAAAGUUUGUUAAACAAAGCCUGUCACCAGAAAUGAUAGCUUUUAGAUAAAUUCCAUUAUUUAAAGAUCUACAUCCCCCUAUUUGUUUGCACUAUAUGAUCGGCUAUUUAUGAGAAAGGAAACAUUAAACCUUAUCUACUAAUUAAGAGCUUCAGUCUGUCACUAUUUCCAUAACAGACAUGCCAUGACUCAAUCUAAACCCUUUACUGUGGCGAGCUGCACUUUCCCUAUUUAGUUUGUGUGAACCUGGCUGCACUUUUGAAAGUAUUUUUAUUUAAAUAUUUUAAACAUGGUACAUGUGUUGCAGUUUUUGUACCUGUUCUCCCCAUCAAACUGCAAAUACUUUACAAUCAAAGGAAUCUGUAAUUAAUGUAUUUUAUGCACAUAAAGGCAAUAAAGUCUCAAGGUCAUCAGGAAACGUUCUUAAACACAGGUACAAUGUACGGAGUGAUUCAAUUAAAAAGACAAUAUUUUUAUAAUUGCGUGUAAAGAGCUAGUGUUGCGGUAAAUCUGGUCCUUUAAGAUGUUUAAUAAUGACAGGAUACUUAUUAAAGAUGCUAAUUAAAUGUGUAAAUUUCAUUUUAUGUAACAUGGCUGACAGUUUAUAGUCUUGUAUAUAAUCCUUGCUUCUGUCAUUCAACACAAUGUACUGAAAUUCUCUGUAAGCUUUUAAGUGAUUUUAAAUAAAAUGUGAAUUCUGAUGCAAA